rnacentral:rRNA from 1 species
UUUUAGUUUUAUCAAAUGAUUAAUAGUUAAGUUCUUUAAAGUUAAAAAAUUUGGCGGUAUUUUAGUCUUUUCAGAGGAACCUGUUCUAUAAUUGAUAGUCCACGUUUUAAUUUACUUUAAUUAGAAAUUUAUAUAUCGUUGUUAAUGAAAAUUUUAAAAGAAUAAUUUUCUAAUUUUUUUUAAAAAUUUAAAUCAGAUCAAGGUGUAGUUUAUAUUAAAGCAGAAAUGGGUUACAGUAAAGUUAUUUUUGGAUAAAUAAUUUAAAAUUUUUUAGAAAUUGGAUUUGAAAGUAAUUAUAUUAAAUUUAAUUUAAUGAUUAAGCUCUAAAAUAUGUACACAUCGCCCGGCCCCCUCUUAACAGA